rnacentral:rRNA from 1 species
UACGUAGGCAGCGAGCGUUGUUCGGAGUUACUGGGCGUAAAGGGCGCGUAGGCGGUUUGCACAGUCAGACGUGAAAUUCCUGGGCUCAACCUGGGGGCUGCGUUUGAUACGUGUAGACUUGAGUGCGGAAGAGGGUCGUGGAAUUCCCAGUGUAGAGGUGAAAUUCGUAGAUAUUGGGAAGAACACCGGUGGCGAAGGCGGCGACCUGGUCCGAUACUGACGCUGAGGCGCGAAAGCGUGGGGAGCAAACAGG